rnacentral:rRNA from 1 species
UACAGAGGUGGCAAGCGUUGUUCGGAAUUACUGGGCGUAAAGGGCGCGUAGGCGGUGCGGUAAGUCACCUGUGAAAACUCUGGGCUCAACUCAGAGCCUGCAGGCGAAACUGCCGUGCUUGAGUGUGGGAGAGGUGCGUGGAAUUCCUGGUGUAGCGGUGAAAUGCGCAGAUAUCAGGAGGAACACCGGUGGCGAAGGCGGGUCUCUGGGCCGAUACUGACGCUGAGGAGCGAAAGCGUGGGGAGCGAACAGG